GGAAUUGACGGGACCCGCACAAGCGGUGGAUGAUGUGGUUUAAUUCGAUGCAACGCGAAAACCUUACCCACCUUUGACAUGUACGGAACCCUUUAGAGAUAGAGGGGUGCUCGAAAGAGAGCCGUAACACAGGUGCUGCAUGGCUGUCGUCAGCUCGUGUCGUGAGAUGUUGGGUUAAGUCCCGCAACGAGCGCAACCCUUGUCAUUAGUUGCUACGAAAGGGCACUCCAAUGAGACUGCCGGUGACAAACCGGAGGAAGGUGGGGAUGACGUCAAGUCCUCAUGGCCCUUAUAGGUGGGGCUACACACGUCAUACAAUGGCUGGUACAAAGGGUUGCCAACCCGCGAGGGGGAGCCAAUCCCAUAAAGCCGGUCUCAGUUCGGAUUGGAGUCUGCAACUCGACUCCAUGAAGUUGGAAUCGCUAGUAAUCGCGGAUCAGCACGCCGCGGUGAAUACGUUCCCGGGCCUU
rnacentral:rRNA from 1 species